AAGUCGUAACAAGGUAUCUGUAGGUGAACCUGCAGAUGGAUCAUUUGAAAAAUAAAAUAAUUUGGCUUUCUUUGGCUUUGAGGUGUGGCUUCGCACCUGACUAACUAAAAUUGAGCUACCCAUUUUUACACGGUUGCAUUGGUCAGGCUGUCAAACAGCGCCGCGGUCAAACGCGGUUAGCUGGGUGAACGCCUGUCAAACCAAUUUUGAAUUCACACUUUGGAAUGAUAGGAUUUUGGCAUGUCAUUUGGGAUGAAAGCGACUGGUAAUGCGGUCGUUGAAAUUGAAAAAACAACUUUUGGCAACGGAUCUCUUGGUUCUCC
rnacentral:misc_RNA from 1 species